rnacentral:rRNA from 1 species
GAUGAACGCUAGCGGCAGGCUUAACACAUGCAAGUCGAGGGGUAUAGUAGCAAUACUAGAGACCGGCGCACGGGUGCGUAACGCGUAUGCAAUCUACCUUUCACAGAGGGAUAGCCCAGAGAAAUUUGGAUUAAUACCUCAUAGUAUAGUAUCUUGGCAUCAAGGAACUAUUAAAGUCACAACGGUGAAAGAUGAGCAUGCGUCCCAUUAGUUAGUUGGUAAGGUAACGGCUUACCAAGACUACGAUGGGUAGGGGUCCUGAGAGGGAGAUCCCCCACACUGGUACUGAGACACGGACCAGACUCCUACGGGAGGCAGCAGUGAGGAAUAUUGGAUAAUGGGCGCAAGCCUGAUCCAGCCAUGCCGCGUGCAGGAUGACGGUCCUAUGGAUUGUAAACUGCUUUUGUACAGGAAGAAACACCCCGACGUGUCGGGACUUGACGGUACUGUAAGAAUAAGGAUCGGCUAACUCCGUGCCAGCAGCCGCCGUAA